UACGUAGGGGGCAAGCGUUGUCCGGAAUCAUUGGGCGUAAAGCGCGUGUAGGCGGCCCGAUAAGUCCGCUGUGAAAGUCCAGGGCUCAACCCUGGGAUGCCGGUGGAUACUGUCGGGCUCGAGUCCGGAAGAGGCGAGUGGAAUUCCUGGUGUAGCGGUGAAAUGCGCAGAUAUCAGGAGGAACACCAAUUGCGAAGGCAGCUCGCUGGGACGUAACUGACGCUGAGAUGCGAAAGCGUGGGGAGCAAACAGG
rnacentral:rRNA from 1 species